AUUGAACGCUGGCGGCAGGCCUAACACAUGCAAGUCGAGCGAGCGGCGCACGGGUUCGUAUUGUAUGGGGACUGCCCGAUAGAGGGGGUUAACUCCUGGAAAAAGUAGCUAAUACCCCAUAUUAUCGCAUAACCCAUCUGGGAUUAGCUAUUGGUUGGGGGAAUGGCUCACCUAGGCGACGAUCCCUAGCUGGUCUGAGAGGAUGAUCAGCCACAAUGGGACUGAGAAACGGCCCAGACGCCGACGGAGGCAGCAGUGGGGAAUAUUGCACAAUGGGCGCAAGCCUGAUGCAGCCAUGCCGCGUGUAUGAAGAAGGCCCUAGGGUUGUAAAGUACUUUCAGUCGGGAGGCGGUACCGACAGAAGAAGCACCGGCUAACUCCGUGCCAGCAGCCGCGGUAAUUC
rnacentral:rRNA from 1 species